rnacentral:rRNA from 1 species
UACGGGGGGGGGUAAGCGUUGUUCGGAAUUACUGGGCGUAAAGCGUGCGCAGGCGGUUGUGCAAGACAGAUGUGAAAUCCCCGGGCUCAACCUGGGAAUUGCAUUUGUGACUGCACGGCUAGAGUGUGUCAGAGGGGGGGUAGAAUUCCACGUGUAGCAGUGAAAUGCGUAGAGAUGUGGAGGAAUACCGAUGGCGAAGGCAGCCCCCUGGGAUAACACUGACGCUCAUGCACGAAAGCGUGGGGAGCAAACAGG